AUGAGAGACAGAGAGAGAGAGAGAGAGAGGCAGAGACACAGGCAGAGGGAGAAGCAGGCUCCAUGCAGGGAGCCCGACGUGGGACUCGAUCCCGGGUCUCCAGGAUCAUGCCCUGGGCUGAAGGCAGGCGCUAAACCGCUGAGCCACCCGGGCUGCCCAAAACUUCUGUUUCUUGAAUCAAAAAGGCAAAGGAAUCCCGUGGACACGUUUGAGAGUCUUAAGGAGUCUUCAUUCCCACAGCGUCGUUGUUCCUGGCCAGAUGGAAGAAAGAGUAAAGCAGAAGGAUGUGGACGGCCACACAGGUGACCUUGGAGGGGACCAGGAGGUGUGUGUGUGCUGCAGAUGGGGACCACGCACAGCAGCACAGCAGCUACUCAUCCCCACAGUGGGCCCAGGCCAGCGCCGAGUGUAUGCGUAAGAAUGACUCUUUAAUGAAUCUCGCUGUUUUGAAAAGGCUGUUCAUCUGUCAAGCUGACCAAAAUAAAUAGAAGCCCUAAAGAAAAGCCCUUCUCUUU
rnacentral:lncRNA from 12 species